AUGCAAGUCGAACGAUGAUGGGAGCUUGCUCCGGGGAUUAGUGGCGAACGGGUGAGUAACACGUGAGUAACCUGCCCUUAACUCUGGGAUAAGCCUGGGAAACUGGGUCUAAUACCGGAUAUGACUCCUCAUCGCAUGGUGGGGGGUGGAAAGCUUUAUUGUGGUUUUGGAUGGACUCGCGGCCUAUCAGCUUGUUGGUGAGGUAAUGGCUUACCAAGGCGACGACGGGUAGCCGGCCUGAGAGGGUGACCGGCCACACUGGGACUGAGACACGGCCCAGACUCCUACGGGAGGCAGCAGUGGGGAAUAUUGCACAAUGGGCGCAAGCCUGAUGCAGCGACGCCGCGUGAGGGAUGACGGCCUUCGGGUUGUAAACCUCUUUCAGUAGGGAAGAAGCGAAAGUGACGGUACCUGCAGAAGAAGCGCCGGCUAACUACGUGCCAGCAGCCGCGGUAAUACGUAGGGCGCAAGCGUUAUCCGGAAUUAUUGGGCGUAAAGAGCUCGUAGGCGGUUUGUCGCGUCUGCCGUGAAAGUCCGGGGCUCAACUCCGGAUCUGCGGUGGGUACGGGCAGACUAGAGUGAUGUAGGGGAGACUGGAAUUCCUGGUGUAGCGGUGAAAUGCGCAGAUAUCAGGAGGAACACCGAUGGCGAAGGCAGGUCUCUGGGCAUUAACUGACGCUGAGGAGCGAAAGCAUGGGGAGCGAACAGGAUUAGAUACCCUGGUAGUCCAUGCCGUAAACGUUGGGCACUAGGUGUGGGGGACAUUCCACGUUUUCCGCGCCGUAGCUAACGCAUUAAGUGCCCCGCCUGGGGAGUACGGCCGCAAGGCUAAAACUCAAGGAAUUGACGGGGGCCGCACAAGCGGCGGAGCAUGCGGAUUAUUCGAUGCACGCGAAGAACCUUACCAGGCUUGACAUGAACCGGUACGCUGGAGACAGUGCCCCGUUGCGGUCGGUUACAGUGGUGCAUGGUGUCGUCAGCUCGUGUCGUGAGAUGUUGGGUUAGUCCGCACGAGCGCACCUCGUCUAUGUGCAGCACGUGAUG
rnacentral:rRNA from 2 species